rnacentral:rRNA from 1 species
UACGUAGGGUGCGAGCGUUAAUCGGAAUUACUGGGCGUAAAGCGUGCGCAGGCGGUUCGUUGUGUCGGCGGUGAAAGCCCCGGGCUUAACCUGGGAAUGGCCGUUGAAACUGGCGAACUGGAGUGUGGCAGAGGGGGGUGGAAUUCCGCGUGUAGCAGUGAAAUGCGUAGAGAUGCGGAGGAACACCGAUGGCGAAGGCAGCCCCCUGGGCUAACACUGACGCUCAGGCACGAAAGCGCGGGGAGCGAACAGG